rnacentral:rRNA from 1 species
ACAGCAGCCGCCGCGGGAAUACAGAGGGUGCGAGCGUUAAUCGGAUUUACUGGGCGUAAAGCGUGCGUAGGCGGCUUUUUAAGUCGGAUGUGAAAUCCCUGAGCUUAACUUAGGAAUUGCAUUCGAUACUGGGAAGCUAGAGUAUGGUAGAGGAUGGUAGAAUUCCAGGUGUAGCGGUGAAAUGCGUAGAGAUCUGGAGGAAUACCGAUGGCGAAGGCAGCCAUCUGGCCUAAUACUGACGCUGAGGUACGAAAGCAUGGGGAGCAAACAGGAUUAGAUACCCCCGUAGUCCCUGUCUCUUAUAC